GAUGAACGCUGGCGGCGUGCCUAAUACAUGCAAGUCGAGCGAAUGGAUUAAGAGCUUGCUCUUAUGAAGUUAGCGGCGGACGGGUGAGUAACACGUGGGUAACCUGCCCAUAAGACUGGGAUAACUCCGGGAAACCGGGGCUAAUACCGGAUACAUUUUGAACCGCAUGGUUCGAAAUUGAAAGGCGGCUUCGGCUGUCACUUAUGGAUGGACCCGCGUCGCAUUAGCUAGUUGGUGAGGUAACGGCUCACCAAGGCAACGAUGCGUAGCCGACGUGAGAGGGUGAUCGGCCACACUGGGAAUGAGACACGGCCCAGACUCCUACGGGAGGCAGCAGUAGGGAAUCUUCCGCAAUGGACGAAAGUCUGACGGAGCAACGCCGCGUGAGUGAUGAAGGCUUUCGGGUCGUAAAACUCUGUUGUUAGGGAAGAACAAGUGCUAGUUGAAUAAGCUGACACCUUGACGGUACCUAACCAGAAAGCCACGGCUAACUACGUGCCAGCCGCCGCUGUAA
rnacentral:rRNA from 1 species